rnacentral:rRNA from 1 species
AGUGAACGCUGGCGGUAGGCCUAACACAUGCAAGUCGAACGGCAGCACAGUAAGAGCUUGCUCUUACGGGUGGCGAGUGGCGGACGGGUGCGGAAUACAUCGGAAUCUACUUUUUCGUGGGGGAUAACGUAGGGAAACUUACGCUAAUACCGCAUACGACCUACGGGUGAAAGCAGGGGAUCUUCGGACCUUGCGCGAUUGAAUGAGCCGAUGUCGGAUUAGCUAGUUGGCGGGGUAAAGGCCCACCAAGGCGACGAUCCGUAGCUGGUCUGAGAGGAUGAUCAGCCACACUGGAACUGAGACACGGUCCAGACUCCUACGGGAGGCAGCAGUGGGGAAUAUUGGACAAUGGGCGCAAGCCUGAUCCAGCCAUACCGCGUGGGUGAAGAAGGCCUUCGGGUUGUAAAGCCCUUUUGUUGGGAAAGAAAAGCAGCAAGUUAAUACCCCGCUGUUCUGACGGUACCCAAAGAAUAAGCACCGGCUAACUUCGUG